CCCUGGGUUUUCUUGGAAGUAAAAGUCGUAACAAGGUUU
rnacentral:rRNA from 1 species